GAUGAACGCUGGCGGCGCGCCUAAUACAUGCAAGUCGAACGAGAGCGACCGGUGCUUGCACUGGUCAAUCUAGUGGCGAACGGGUGAGUAACACGUGGGUAACCUGCCCAUCAGAGGGGGAUAACAUUCGGAAACGGAUGCUAAAACCGCAUAGGUCCUCGAACCGCAUGGUUUGAAGAGGAAAAGAGGCGCAAGCUUCUGCUGAUGGAUGGACCCGCGGUGCAUUAGCUAGUUGGUGAGGUAACGGCUCACCAAGGCCGUGAUGCAUAGCCGACCUGAGAGGGUGAUCGGCCACAUUGGGACUGAGACACGGCCCAAACUCCUACGGGAGGCAGCAGUAGGGAAUCUUCCGCAAUGGACGCAAGUCUGACGGAGCAACGCCGCGUGAGUGAAGAAGGUUUUCGGAUCGUAAAACUCUGUUGUUAGAGAAGAACAAGUGCUAGAGUAACUGUUAGCACCUUGACGGU
rnacentral:rRNA from 1 species